AGAUGACGUGCCCUGAACACGCUGCAAAACACAACAAAUAGAGCAGCCCGCUGCACCGUAACAUUGAACAACUCACUCCAGUAAAUGAGUUCUUCUGACUUUUAUCCCAAAAUAUCCUGGUGAGCUUUAGAGAUUUUGUUUUCUUCUCAUAAGAAGAGUACAGGAAUUGCCUUCAAUUUAACAGGAAGUUGUUCUGGUGCAGAGAAAAUGGAGCGCCACUUUAUGGAUGUACUUGAUGCUUUUUCAGAGGAUAAAGUAGAAAUAGAUUUUGAGCAUCUUGAUUUUGAUGAGUAUGUAGAACAGACCAAUCAUAAGAGCAGAUCUCGUGUAACAGAACAGAGGACGAACAAAGGCCAGAGGGAUGAAACAGAGCAGGAAUCAGAAGACACUUUUGAGACCAGAAAUGGAAAAUGUGUUAAUGCACCGAGCGACAAUGUUGACUAUCAAGCGGUUACAGUGCUGGAGGAAGACGCUGAGGAUAAGGACGGAAUGGAGAAACAUCUUUUCCUUCCUGAAAACAUUGACAUCAAGAAGGACACAGAUGGGUUUGAGGGAACAUAUCAGACACUUGGCUGGACAGAAGAUACGAGUCUGUGUGAAGUAAAUGAAGAGGUGCAGGAGCAGGGCGGUAGAUAUGAUGUAGGUGUUGAAUGCAGCUGCUCAGAUACAGGAAGUGAUGAUUUGGAUACUGCUCAACCCGAACCCCAGACAGAUGCAGCAGAAAUGUUACCUAGUUCAUCUGAUAGAGCAUCACGAGAGAAAGCGGAAAGCACUGAUUCAAACAGUCAGCACAGACAUGAAGAUUUUGCAACACUGCUGCCACAUGUGCAAGCUAUACUGACAGAGGAGCUCAAGGAAUUUCUCUCCAGAGAUCUGGUGGAGUUUUCGGAGGAGGAUCAGGAUGUGAUAGGAGAAGACUUCGCUGAAUAUCCUUCAGAAUUCCCAAAGCAAAAUGAAGGAGACAGCAAAAUGCCAUUAUUUUCUGCUGACAUUUCUGAAGCUUGUCCCGAAGCAAGUGUUGCAUUUGUGAUGGAAAAUGAGAUGUUCAGAUGUUCAGGUCAUCAACAUUUUCACAUAGAAGACAAAGAUGAAAAAAGGACUGAGAGAGGUACAUUUAGCCCAAUUAACAGUGAAAUUGAGAAUGAUGAAGAUAGUAGUGAUGAAGAACCAACAGAAAGUGAUACAGCAGCCACAGACAUCCUGAAUGUGGAAGAUUCUGAUGAGGGGAUGGAAGAGGGAUGUGAGAGCUCCAGUGAACCGGACGUUAGUGAAAGUGACGGACAUGAUAGUAAUGAACCCUGUGGUGAUAAACUUGCUUGUGUCUGGCCUGAUGAGGGAAUCUCCAAAAAGAGUAUAAACAUAGAAAGUAGGAUCUCAGAAGAUGCAGACGGAGGAGACAUUCAUGCCAGUGAGGAGCAUGGCCGCGAUAAGGAGUGCUCUUCAUCUCUACAUUGCUGGGAAGUCAAGGUGGACUGGAGUAAAGAUUUUGACAUGUUUUGGCAAAGUGAAGAGGUUGAGGCCACUUACCAAAAUGUCCUUCAAUCAACCUCAGAUCAUUCAACAAGAAAUCUUGGUGAUCACACGGGCCCAGCAGAAUUCUCCACAUGUGUGGAGAAGUGGUCUUCAGAAACCGUGCCUUCCUGGAGCCUUUCAGGAACUUCCAGAGAAGAGUGCCUUUGGCAUGAAGAGGCAGUGACGUUAGACCAUGACUUUCAGUCCUACGGCAGUUCUGGCCAAGAGAGGCCGGAUGGUGGAAGUCUGCUAGAUGAAGAUACAGAAGAAGAGGACAUGGAGGAUCAUGCGGACAGCAGAGAGGAAGAGGGGAACUGGGCACAAGAGACAGCCAGAAUUGAGGCGUUCUACAGGUUUUACAAUGACCCUAAUGAGAAUGAGGCUGCAGAUGAUAGAGUACCAAAAGUUCAGUUUUGUUUGGAGCCUGUGGUCUCUGCAGCAUCAGAUGAGUAUGAGAGCACUGACUUGGAGUCAGAGGAGGACUCAGAUGCACUUGAACCAGCAGCACAAAGCCAAUCUGAGGAGAGUGAGCCUGAAGGACCAAAGGAGACUAAUGUUCCUCCUCAUGAGGACCUCCAAGAGACAUCCGCACCUGAAAACACAGGAUCAGAACUGGAGAAGGUGGGGCAGGAUGUGAAUGCACAGCCAGAGACGUUGUGGAAGAAGAACUGGUGCCUUGGUCUGCUGAAGUCAUCAGUGAAGAUGGGUGUUGUGAUAGCUGUCGGGGUGGCAUCAUUCUGGUGGGCAGCAGACUACCUGGUCUGGGAUGCCUGA
ensembl:lncRNA uncharacterized LOC114797783